ensembl:snRNA U6 U6 spliceosomal RNA
GUGUUUACAUCAGCAGCACAUAUACUAAAAUUAGGAUGAUACAGAGAGCAUGGCCCCAUGUGAAAGGAUAACACACAAAUUUGUGAAGCUUUCCAAAAAAAA